ensembl:lncRNA
CUCUGGUUUGCAUAUCAGAUGAAUCAUCUUUCCGAGGUGUUGGGUCACAGUUAAAUUGAACAUCUUGGAACCAAUUUAUUCCAUUAGGAGCUCCGAGUCCAGGACCGGAAUACAGACAGCCAAUUUCAGCAUGAAGCAUGAAGGCUGCGACAAAAGAUGAUAGAUUUAGCCAGACAAUAGCAUUUGCCUUUCCCAAAUCCCACUGAGAGAAAAUCCCACGGAGCAUUCUGCGAUCGGUUUCCAGAUCAGAGCAAACCCGGUGCCUGCGACAUUGAUGCAGUGAUAACUACUGACAGCAAACCUCACUAUUCACCUCGAAGACCCUGUUUCCACAAAAACCCACCGCAGAGAAGGUCACAAAGCCAACGUCCAUGAAAGAGCUGCAACUGCUUUAAUCACAGACACCAGUGCUAAAAUGUGAAAAAAGGUGUCACAAUCAUAAAACUUUAACCUCUGCACUUCAUCUGAAAUUCAACAUCUGCCCUGAUAAACACCAAAAGUUGUACAAAUCUAUUCUAAGAAGGUUGGAAGCUGUAUUUAAAUCGAACUGUGG